rnacentral:rRNA from 2 species
GACUCGUCACACUAUCAUUAACUGAAUCCAUAGGUUAAUGAGGCGAACCGGGGGAACUGAAACAUCUAAGUACCCCGAGGAAAAGAAAUCAACCGAGAUUCCCCCAGUAGCGGCGAGCGAACGGGGAGGAGCCCAGAGCCUGAAUCAGCAUGUGUGUUAGUGGAAGCGUCUGGAAAGGCGCGCGAUACAGGGUGACAGCCCCGUACACAAAAGCGCAUGUGCUGUGAGCUCGAUGAGUAGGGCGGGACACGUGGUAUCCUGUCUGAAUAUGGGGGGACCAUCCUCCAAGGCUAAAUACUCCUGACUGACCGAUAGUGAACCAGUACCGUGAGGGAAAGGCGAAAAGAACCCCGGCGAGGGGAGUGAAAAAGAACCUGAAACCGUGUACGUACAAGCAGUGGGAG